rnacentral:rRNA from 1 species
UUGGAGGGCAAGUCUGGUGCCAGCAGCCGCGGUAAUUCCAGCUCCAAUAGCGUAUAUUAAAGUUGUUGCAGUUAAAAAGCUCGUAGUUGAAUUUCGGGGUCAGUAGGUUGGUCAUGCCACUGGUAUGUACUGGUCUCACUGAUUCCUCCUUCCUGAUGAACUGUAAUGCCAUUAAUUUGGUGUUGCAGGGAAUCUGGACUGUUACUUUGAAAUAAUUAGAGUGUUUAAAGCAGGCUAACGCCUGAAUACAUUAGCAUGGAAUAAUGAAAUAGGACGUUCGAUCCUAUUUUGUUGGUUUCUAGGAUUGACGUAAUGAUUAAUAGGGAUAGUUGGGGGCAUUAGUAUUCAAUUGUCAGAGGUGAAAUUCUUGGAUUUAUUGAAGACUAACUACUGCGAAAGCAUUUGCCAAGGAUGUUUUCAUUAAUCAAGAACGAAAGUUAGGGGAUCGAAGACGAUCAGAUACCGUCGUAGUCUUAACCAUAAACUAUGCCGACUAGGGAUCGGAUGAUGUUAAUUUUUUAAUGACUCAUUCGGCGCCUUACGGGAAAC